rnacentral:rRNA from 1 species
GACGUAGGGCGCGAGCGUUGUCCGGAUUUAUUGGGCGUAAAGAGCUCGUAGGCGGCUUGUCGCGUCGUCCGUGAAAACUUGGGGCUCAACCCCAAGCUUGCGGUCGAUACGGGCAGGCUAGAGUUCGGUAGGGGAGACUGGAAUUCCUGGUGUAGCGGUGAAAUGCGCAGAUAUCAGGAGGAACACCGGUGGCGAAGGCGGGUCUCUGGGCCGAUACUGACGCUGAGACGCGAAAGCGUGGGGAGCAAACAGG